rnacentral:lncRNA from 1 species
CAUUUUUGACCUUUUUCUUAAGUUUCUUAGAUUUCUUCUGAUUCUGAUUUUCCUUUUUUCCUAAAAGGAAGUUUGGUCUGAUAUGCCAUUUCUUUCCAUAUUUAUAGCAUGUAGAAAUAAAUGAAGUAUUUUCUUCACUUGUAUCUUUCUCUUUUUCUUUAUGUUUCUAAUGCUUCAAGAACUUUAUGAAGUUUCACACCAUGAGUGACAUGUCACUAUCAGAUUCAGAAUCUCUA